CCUGUCUAAUAAUCCAGGAGGCCAGAAAAAAUAGCUCCUGAUUUCUAAAACUACAGGAAUGAAGCCACCAUUUAACCAUUCCCCUUCUAAAACUCAAUGUCCCUGGAGAUAAUGCCACCCGUACUCCCAGAAGUAAACACAAGAUAAAUAUCUAGGAAGAGCUGCAUGGAUCCACUGGGAAUUUGUUGUUUGUUCUACUAGUUUCCAUUUUCAGAUUUUUUGGCUGUUGGAUUUUUUGCUUUUCUCAAAGUGACACAGAAAGAAAUAAACACAGUUUCAAACAUUG